GACGAACGCUGGCGGCGUGCUUAACACAUGCCAGUCGAACGGAAAGGCCCUGCUUUUGUGGGGUGCUCGAGUGGCGAACGGGUGAGUAACACGUGAGUAACCUGCCCUUGACUUUGGGAUAACUUCAGGAAACUGGGGCUAAUACCGGAUAGGAGCUCCUGCUGCAUGGUGGGGGUUGGAAAGUUUCGGCGGUUGGGGAUGGACUCGCGGCUUAUCAGCUUGUUGGUGGGGUAGUGGCUUACCAAGGCUUUGACGGGUAGCCGGCCUGAGAGGGUGACCGGCAACAUUGGGACUGAGAGACGGCCCAGACUCCUACGGGAGGCAGCAGUGGGGAAUAUUGCACAAUGGGCGGAAGCCUGAUGCAGCAACGCCGCGUGCGGGAUGACGGCCUUCGGGUUGUAAACCGCUUUCGCCUGUGACGAAGCGUGAGUGACGGUAAUGGGUAAAGAAGCACCGGCUAACUACGUG
rnacentral:rRNA from 1 species